ensembl:misc_RNA 7SK 7SK RNA
GGAUGUGAGGGCGAUCUGGCUGCGACAUCUGUCACCCCAUUGAUCGCCAGGGUUCAUUUGGCUGAUCUGGCUGGCUAGGCGGGUGUCCCCUUCCUCCCUCACCGCUCCAUGUGUGUCCCUCCCAAAGUUGCACACUCGGUCGAAGAGGACGACCAUCCCCGCUAGAGGAGGACCGGUCUUCGGUCAAAGGUAUACGAGUAGCUGCGCUCCCUUGCUAGAACCUCCAAACAAGCUCUCAAGACUUGGCUAUGUCCUAGGAUGAAGGAGUCUAGCUCUUUUGCCCAGGCUGGAGUGCAGUGGCAUUCACUA